rnacentral:rRNA from 1 species
GGGGGGGGGGGGGGGGGGGCCGGGGGGGGGGGGGGCGGGCGGGCAGGGGGGGCGGUGGGUGCUCUGACGUGGGCGGGGGACGGGGGGGUGACCAGUGGGGACCCUGCCUAUACGACUGGGAUCACUUCGGGAAACCGGGGCUGAUACCGGAUAAUAUCUUUAACCGCGUGGUUCCAUAGUGAACGACGGUUUUGCUGUCACUUCUAGCUUGAUCCGCGCCGCAUUAGCUAGUUGGUAAGGUAACGGCUUACCAAGGCGACGAUGCGUAGCCGACCUGAGAGGGGGAUCGGCCACACGGGAACGGAGACACGGUACAGACUCCGACGGGAGGCAGCAGUAGGGAAUCUGCAGCAAUGGGAGAAAGCCUGAAGGAGAAAAGCCGCGUGAGUGAUGAAGGUCUGCGGAGCGUAAAACUCUGUUAUUAGGGAAGAACAAAUGUGGAAGUAACUAUGCACGUCUUGACGGUACAUAAUCAGAAAGCAACGGCUAACUACGUG